AUGUCUUGUUACCCACAACAUCUGACCGAGCUGGUGUCCACGGAGAUCCUCCUCCGGCUCCCCGUGAAUUCGCUGCUGCGGUUCAGGUGUGUAUGCAAGGCAUGGCGCGACACCAUUGACAACGAUUUCUUUGUCCGCGCACACCUCCGCGCCGCCCAGAACACGUUCACGCUCAUCGCCCCACAUGUUAAGGCAGAUGGCAUGAUCACCGCCGCCGGCUUAUAUAGGUGGGAGCAGGGCGCCAAGGCCGCCGACGACGACGACAGGAACACCGCCGCCGCCGCUGGCGUGUACCCGUGGGAGCAGGACACCGCCACCCUCGUACACCCCAUGGGCGCCGACUACUCCGUCCCGGGCACGACGAAUGUUUCCCACGACCUUGCGCACUGUGACGGGCUGGUGCUGGUGCCUUCCGACGCCAUGGUGCGUGUGCUCAACCCGGCCACAAGGCGUGUCCUCGUGCUUCCCCUGAGGCCUCCUCACGCUGUCAUGUUUGGUUCAACCCCUUUUGGAUUCGAGGGCCAUCAGGCUUUCGGCCUCGGCCAUGACCCUCGCUCCAAAGCUUACAAGGUUGCUCGCUUCUUCUACCGCUCCAUGGAAGGGCCCGUGGGCAACCCUAACCACUACACCCUCGGGAUGGAGGUGCUCACCGUCGGAGCGGCGGACCUGCGUUGGCGAGAGACGGCAGCGCCGCCACCUUACCCUGCCUUGCCAGGCCGAACCGCCACCUUCUUCAAGGACUCGUUGCUUUGGACCGUCGAGGAGUUGCUAUUCCGGGAAGCGCCGGGAUUCAUCCGCUUCAAGUUAGAAGACGAGUCGUUCGCUGUCCUGCCAGGGCCUCCUUGCAGCCCGAGUCUGGACUACGCGGCUGCGAGCUUAGCCGAGCUGCGUGGGGAGCUGUGCGUGUGCGUGGCUCGUCACGAGGCUGACUACGGCCACGGGUGGCACGAGACGUGGAUCUGCCGCGACUUGGACGACGCGCCACCGCCACGAUGGGAGCCACGGCAUGUCGUCGAGAUGAUACCCACUUUUCCACGACUCCGAUGUCUACGUCCAAUUGCUGCUUACACUGACGUGCUAGUGCUCCAUGCCGAACCCUGCUAUCUCUGCCGUGAAACUCAAGAACCUGGGAGGAGCAAGGAUCUUGCUCGGGAAAAAGAAAGGAAUACUCCGCUUCACAUGCAGCUCAAGUUGAGGUAUUACCACCCUGACACGGGCAUGUUUGUUGAAUACCCAGCGGCGACAUGUGCCUUUCAAGUAAUCUCAUACGUUCCAAGUUUAGUUCCCGUGUAG
rnacentral:rRNA from 1 species